GAUGAAGAACGUAGCGAAAUGCGAUAAGUAGUGUGAAUUGCAGAAUUCAGUGAAUCAUCGAAUCUUUGAACGCACAUUGCGCCCCUUGGUAUCCCGAGGGGCAUGCCUGUUCGAGCGUCAUUUCACCACUCAAGCCUGGCUUGGUGUUGGGCGACGUCCCCUUUGGGGACGCGCCUCGAAACGCUCGGCGGCGUGGCACCGGCUUUAAGCGUAGCAGAAUCUUUCGCUUUGGAAGUCGGGGCCCCGUCUGCCGGAAGACCUACUCGCAAGGUUGACCUCAGAUCAGGCAGGGAUACCCGCUGAACUUAAGCAUAUCAAUAAGCGGAGGA
rnacentral:misc_RNA from 1 species